UCCUGGGAUAGCUCAGUCGGUAGCGCAUGAGACUCUUAAUCUCAGGGUUGUGGGUUCAAGUCCCGCACUGGGCA